CCCAGGUGCCCCUAAAGUCCCUUUUAUGGUGAAUAAUGAACACAUGGGAGUUUGAACACCCAAGUGUGUGGUUAUUCCAAACAGGAAGUCUCAAGGAAGCACAGUAACCUUGUCAGAGGAACAAAAGAUGGAACUGAAAAGGCGAUUGGAUGAUUCCAGGCUUAAAACAUCUGCCAGGAAACAUCUGACAGUUUCUAAGAUACACAACUGCACCCUCCAAAUGGAUGGUUUAUUUGGAACUUGUUCCAUUUGUUUUAAAUGCUUGGAGUAUUAAGCCCUACUCUAGAAAUGGAGGUGAAAAAAGAAGUAACAUGGCGUUGCAUUAAAGACAGGAAGUGGCUCUGCCUGUGGGGAUGACCGAGGGUCCUUGAGAAGAAGGCGCAACAACUCAUCUUUACCGGAAGGAGCAAUGGGCCUGCACCCAGAAACGGUAGAUGGGACCUACGGGGGCUGCCAGAGCUAAUGGGGUUGGGUUAAAAAAAAUGAUUUUGUGCCAAGCCUUUGAUUACUGAGCACAGGAGGAGCAGGUAGAUAAAGAAGAAUGUGGGUUCUGCAUGAAGAGCGUGUAUUCUAGUGGAGAGCAAGAAUGUGUAUAUCAACAAUACACUCUGAGAAAAAAAAAAAGUGCAAUACAAGAAAAGGAAAAAAAAAAAAAAAAAGAAAUCCCGUGGGACUGCAAACGGGAUCUGAUUAUAGCUGAUCAGGAGAGAGACAGAGCAUGAACGGGGGAGGGGCAGAGAGAGA